rnacentral:rRNA from 1 species
AUUGAACGCUGGCGGCAGGCCUAACACAUGCAAGUCGAACGAGUGGCGGACGGGUGAGUAAUGUCUGGGAAACUGCCCGAUAGAGGGGGAUAACUACUGGAAACGGUAGCUAAUACCGCAUACCAUCGGAUGUGCCCAGAUGGGAUUAGCUAGUAGGUGGGGUAAAGGCUCACCAAGGCGACGAUCCCUAGCUGGUCUGAGAGGAUGACCAGCAACACUGGAACUGAGACACGGUCCAGACUCAUACGGGAGGCAGCAGUGGGGAAUUUUGGACAAUGGGCGCAAUCCUGAUGCAGCCAUGCCGCGUGUAUGAAGAAGGCCUUCGGGUUGUAAAGUACUGUCAGCAAGGAGGCGUUAUCCGCAGAAGAAGCACCGGCUAACUCCGUGCCAGCAGCCGCGGUAAUAC